AGUGGGAUAACUGUGCAAAAUGGUGGUUCCAUUCCACAUUUUCUGAGGAAUUCCCAUACUGCUUUCUAGAGUGGUUGCACCAUUUUUCAAUCCCAACAGUAAU
rnacentral:pre_miRNA from 1 species